UACGGGGGGGGCAAGCGUUGUUCGGAAUUACUGGGCGUAAAGGGCUCGUAGGUGGCCAACUAAGUCGGACGUGAAAUCCCUCAGCUUAACUGGGGAACUGCGUCCGAUACUGGAUGGCUUGAGUUUGGGAGAGGGAUGCGGAAUUCCAGGUGUAGCGGUGAAAUGCGUAGAUAUCAGGAGGAACACCGGUGGCGAAGGCGGGUCUCUGGGCAGUAACUGACGCUGAGGAGCGAAAGCGUGGGGAGCGAACAGG
rnacentral:rRNA from 1 species